rnacentral:lncRNA from 1 species
UUUGGCCUCCACCGAGGGCAAUCAUCGCCGACUCAAUUGUCGAGGCUGCAGAAGAGCUCGGUUGCAGACGUGUUUGAAUCUCCUGAAGGUCCUUCCACCACAACUUACCAGAAAAUUCGGCAAACUAUAUAUAUAUAUAUAUAUAUUUCUUUUCUUUCCUUUUUUUUUUUUUGCGAGGUAACAUAGCAAGACCAAAAAGCUAGUCUAAACAGACAUGUCCCAUCUGAAUGGAAGAGGCACCAUCAGCUACUGGCAUGAUCUGUGAUACAAUCAAUGAAAGGAAUGUGAUCCUUUCCCUUUUAUUAAACG